GACGAACGCUGGCGGCGUGCUUAACACAUGCAAGUCGAACGGAAAGGCCCUGCUUUUGUGGGGUGCUCGAGUGGCGAACGGGUGAGUAACACGUGAGUAACCUGCCCUUGACUUUGGGAUAACUUCAGGAAACUGGGGCUAAUACCGGAUAGGAGCUCCUGCUGCAUGGUGGGGUUGGAAAGUUUCGGCGGUUGGGGAUGGACUCGCGGCUUAUCAGCUUGUUGGUGGGGUAGUGGCUUACCAAGGCUUUGACGGGUAGCCGGCCUGAGAGGGUGACCGGCCACAUUGGGACUGAGAUACGGCCCAGACUCCUACGGGAGGCAGCAGUGGGGAAUAUUGCACAAUGGGCGGAAGCCUAAUGCAGCAACGCCGCGUGCGGGAUGACGGCCUUCGGGUUGUAAACCGCUUUCGCCUGUGACGAAGCGUGAGUGACGGUAAUGGGUAAAGAAGCACCGGCUAACUACGUG
rnacentral:rRNA from 1 species